rnacentral:rRNA from 1 species
GACGAACGCUGGCGGCGUGCCUAAUACAUGCAAGUAGGACGCAGUUGCGAACGGGAGAGUAACGCGUAGGUAACUACCUAUUAGAGGGGGAUAACUAUUGGAAACGAUAGCUAAUACCGCAUACUAGUAGAUGGACCUGCGUUGUAUUAGCUAGUAGGUAGGGUAAUGGCCUACCUAGGCAACGAUACAUAGCCGACCGGGGAGGGUGAUAGGCCACACUGGGACGGAGACACGGCACAGAUUCCCACGGGAGGCAGCAGGAGGGAAUCUUCGGAAAUGGGGAGAACCCGGACCGAGCAACGCCGCGUGAGUGAAGAAGGUUUUCGGAUCGUAAAGCUUUGUUGUUGAGGAAGCGGUACUUAACCAGAAAGGGACGGCUAACUACGUGCUAGCCGCCGCGUAAUAC